UGGGGAACGGCCCAGGAAGGGAUUUAAAGAAGAACAGGUGGCACCUGUAUUUCUUGACCUUCUCUCCUCUUGACUUUUAGUGAACUCCUAUUUGCUAAACACUACUGGAACCAGGAGCUGGUAUUAAGACUCCAGAUGAAAUGUGCACUGCCACCACGGUGGAUUGGUCCACUCCAAAGGCUUUUAAUGACCCACACAGAGGUCAAGUUUGCCAAAAGGAGUGCCUGCAUCCCAUUGUUGAAGGAUGGUGUUGCCUAAGAAACUUGGGGAAUCCCUGGAGUAACCAACGUGGGUAAGAUCAGAAGCUGGUCCACUUCUGCUAAAAGACAGGACACCUCCAUCAAAGAAGAGCAAGUAGCAGAGCUGGACAAUUCCAUGAUGGGAUUACAGGAGAAAGCUCUGUGUGGCAGUGCUUUCUUUCUCUCCCCAGAAUUACAGCAAACAUUAGCACCAAGACACCAUCUGAGGCUGAGAAAACUGAAAGUGAAGUCUGAGACAACAUAGCUUGGAACAGCUUCUUUCAAGCCAAACAAGACUUGUAUGGGAUAUAUAUCAAUAUGCAUAUAUAUACUUGCUGUCAUGAAAUUCUGCAUCUGUUACACUACUGUCUUGCUACAAUUUUACUUGGAUUACACAGAAAGACAAAGAAAAAAUAUAUAUAUGGGUGUUCUAUGAAGAGUGGUUGGGGAAAAGGGACCACUGGAAUUUCCUCUGUUGCCCAAGACUUUUUGGAAGUAUGAGCCAAGAAAUUGAUGGUAUGGCCUCCCAUGAAGCCCUGAAUCACUGAUUACCGGAGACUCCCCAUACAUCCACAUUCCUAGCAAACUAGAGGCAUCACUUUACAUGAACACUGAAGGAGAAGGUCUAGGAAAGGUUUACAGGUAUGGGACAACAUUGAGUUACAUAUGGAAUCCUGCCUCAGCAGAUGUUACCAUCAAAUGAAGACUUAGGUAGGAGCUGUUAUGGUUUAGAAUGGUUUUCUCCAACUUAGUGUUCCCUCUGAAACCACUCCAAAACAUGUGCUGCUUGCUCACCCUGCCCCUUCCCCUGAUAGGGGCUGGACUGAGAAAAUUGGAUGCACACAAGGUAGAGGUGAUGAGUUGAGAUAAGAACAAUUUACUGAAAACAGGAAUGAAAUAACGCAACAAACUAUAUCAGCAACAAUAUUAGUGACAGAGUGUACAAGAAAAAGGUGAACGACAUACAAGUGAUUUCUAAUCAUAGAACCCCCUGACAAUAGCCAAACAUUACACUACAUGAUGACAUGGGUGAUACUCCUUUACUCUGGGGAAAAAACCUCCCUUCUCCCCACACCCAGAAAUGAGGUGAGGUUGUGCUGCCUAAAAUUGGAAGAAAACUUUCCAAACAGAAUUAAAUUUGAUAAAAUA